rnacentral:lncRNA from 1 species
GGUGGGUCUGGGAGAGGUGCCCCAGGCUGGGUACGCGUUGUGCCGCCGCCGCCGGACUCUGCGGAGCCGGGGCAGCGAGGCAGGCGGGCUCGGGAAGUUGAAGAAGCUCCAACUCGGAGAGAGACGGAGGACGGACGCUGCAGCCGCCAGGAAGCUGGCCUGCCUCACAUUAUCUGAUGUGAGUGAAACCUGGCCCAAGAAGCAGAAUUCCUUUAUUGCCUUGCACAUGUAUAAGGAUGCAUUAAGAAAAGAACCAUGGAUAAAUACUGUAAACUCCAAAAGAUUGGGGAAGGAUCCUUUGGAAAAGCCAUUCUUGUUAAAUCUAGGGAAGAUUACAAACAAUAUGUUAUUAAGGAAAUUAACAUCUCA